rnacentral:rRNA from 1 species
UACUCCUACCCGGGAGGCAGCAGUGGGGAAUAUUGCACAAUGGGCGCAAGCCUGAUGCAGCCAUGCCGCGUGUGUGAAGAAGGCCUUAGGGUUGUAAAGCACUUUCAGCGAGGAGGAAGGCAUCAUACUUAAUACGUGUGGUGAUUGACGUUACUCGCAGAAGAAGCACCGGCUAACUCCGUGCCAGCAGCCGCGGUAAUACGGAGGGUGCAAGCGUUAAUCGGAAUUACUGGGCGUAAAGCGCACGCAGGCGGUUUGUUAAGUCAGAUGUGAAAUCCCCGAGCUUAACUUGGGAACUGCAUUUGAAACUGGCAAGCUAGAGUCUUGUAGAGGGGGGUAGAAUUCCAGGUGUAGCGGUGAAAUGCGUAGAGAUCUGGAGGAAUACCGGUGGCGAAGGCGGCCCCCUGGACAAAGACUGACGCUCAGUC